CUAAAUGUGACGUCACAACCGGUGUGCUUUUUGGAAACCGAUACUUUUAUUUUUCGACCUCAGUAGAAGCUAAUCCAUCUGACAUAAAAUAUAAUAGUAUUUUACAAGGUUUCGGCGGAUGAUCAGAAGCGUCGUUGGAUUUUACACGGUGCAACGAGUGAAUGACCCCUUACACACAGUUAUUGAUCUUCAGAACCAUUUCCCAUACAUACAACUAAUCACUAUCCGUAAUAUCAGAUCACUCUCCUUAAUUUCUAAAUCACUCUUAUCGAAACUGGGAGAGCUCUUUUAGGGGAGAGAUUUUUUCAACCCAGGAAUCAGUAUAGUGCAUAGCAAGGUUUUUUCUUCUGAAAGCCUACGUUCUACUUCUAGAAGUCUCACUUCCAUUUUAAUAUCAGGCCUCGUCUAGUUAUGUCACUGUAUCUAACUGAAUAGUUACUUCCGGCCAAAUUAUGGGGAUGGGGGGGGGGGUCCUGUCGUCGGGCCUGCUAUGUUCAUAUCAAAUUCUUACCUUGGGUUUCACGAAGCAACAGAGCGAGCUUUCUUAACUUCGCUUCAAUGCUAUGAGUCUACACUGCAAAAGCAAAAAAUGAUGACAAAGGUAAUAAGUGACUUGGCUUAGCACUGAUUAUUUCUAGCCUUUAUGCUAAUCCUCAAAGUGAAACAAGAUUAGGAGUAGGAACAUUUGUUGCAGGCUAGAUUGUUUUCUGGUUCGUAUCACUGCUUUAAACGAGAUAACUAUGGAAUUUUUCAUCCCGGUUCUUACUUGUCAUGGGUAGGCCUAUCGCCUACAGGAUUGACGAGAAAAGUGUUACCUAGUCUUUUAAAUGGAUCAAGAAACCAGAGGCCACUGGAGUGCAUGUAAAAUAUUUCAACAAUUAUACCACUAUUUUAGUAUUUAUAUACAUAACAAGCCUUACUUUUAGUCUUAGGUCGGGUGUUCGAUCCCUGCAUUGGCCGAGAAAGUUCAUCCAGAUUUUCCGGCGUGGUUCUCCCUUAUCAGUGAUGCAGGACGGAGGGGCUGACAAGGAAAGCUGUCUAGUCGUUCGGAUAGGACGAAAAACCGAGGUCCCGUGUACAUAUUGGCGUCAGGGCUGCCGACAACCAGUAUCGCAGCGCAAUUUGCGAUACAUAUUUUGUCCGUUGCUAACCAAAAAUUAAAAUCUAACGUUUUUGAUUCGCAGUUACUGCGAAUCAUUAAUAUGCCUGUCAUUUUGGAUAUUGACACAAGAAUAAUCCACAUUUUGAAGACUAGAAGGCUUACUCAACACUUUCAACGUGUAUAAAAUGUUGAAUAAAAUUUUAUAAACAAAACUGAAUUCUCCGUGUGACAUUUUCUUCUCGAACUGCCCAGACACAAUACUAUAUAACACAGGGACAUAACUCUAUGAAUAGGGACUAUUAAACCGGAAAUAGGGAAUCAAGUAGUACCACUCACGUUGUGAGACAUCAAGUAAUUAUAUCAUAUUCAUUUUGAAAGAAAUAAAUCCAGUGUAUCUCCCACGUAUUGUAAAUAAAAUAUAAAAAAAAUAAAUACAUGUUAACGUAUUGUAAAAUGAUAAAUCAAAGUAAAAAUUCCCGUAAAAUAUUAUUGUUUAUAUCGCGUGUGUCUAGUUAAUCGAGGUGCGCCCGAUUGAACAAAAAUAAUAAUACACGAUAAAAAGCAGACAAUUGUUUUCUAACGAAGAUUUCUAACGUAACAAAAAAAAUACAAUUAAAAUGAGUGGGGCUUCGGAAGUCACUGUCAAGAAUUGGCUUCAGACAUAAGACCUAACUAAAUGUCUACAUCACAUUCACAAACUGUCACAAGUACUUGUGGCAGUGCUAAAAAAUCUAAGAAUAGUCAGAAUGGAAUCUAAUCAUAUUUCAAUUCGUUAUGAAUUAAAGUAAUAUCUUGUUAUUUAGGUGUUUUACGUUGAAACUGAAAAACUGCUAAUCAAUUUUUAAAUUUGCUAAUCAAAUUUGGCAAAAUUGGACAUUUUGAUUAGCAGUGCUGCUAAUCAACUGUGAAAAAUUACCGACAGCCCUGAUUGGUGUGCACGUAAAAGAUCCCUUGGCAGUUGGAAUUCGAUAUAAGAGUAGCCCAGGUUAGGAGCAGAACAGUAGGACGUUAAACUCCAUUUCAUUUCAUUUCACUUUUAGACUUAACAUAGUUUCUCACAUUUAUAGUCACUAUAUAAACAGUAAUGGUGUAUUUAACAAAUUAUAGCCAUUUAAACAUCAAUAAAAAAAAAUAGACUGAAAAUAGUGAAAAGGUAAAUGGCAAGGGGCCAUUACGUCAGAGCAUGUUUGAAUGCAAAAUAGUUAUGUAACCUAGUGGGUUACUUCCAUAAAACGGGAACAACCGUAUAAUCUGGAUAUGAAUUUAUGCAAGCAGUAACAACAUUAAAAUCGACUAACAACUAAAAAGGAAUGAACAAUAUGGUGUGCAUUCUUUGAUAAUUACAAUAUAUAUCUCUACAAUUUAUGACUUUGUUGUCAAGGUACUAAUCUCUAUUAGUUUUAAGUUCAAUUUGAUGUACAAUAAACAAUUAUAAAAUGUUGCCACUAGUGACUUAAUUUAAAUAGUUAAUUAAAUGGUAAAUAAAAACAAUGAGCCUACUUAAUGCUAUUCAACAACUAUACAAUAAUACUUAUGUUGAUAAAAGAUCAAGAUUAAAACAAUAAAUACAUUUAAUUAUAUUGUAGGAGAUUAGUGUCCCAGUGUGACUAUAGCUGUUAAAAAGUAUAAUAUUGGGUUCUUACAAUUAUUUCUGAAUAAACACUAUAUUAAAAAUUUCCGUCAAGCAUCAUAUUGAAAUGCUUGGUUAUAGUUACAUGCCUUUGGUUUGAAAUUAGUCGCGCUAAACUAAAUCUAAUUUAAUUACUUGCUAGAGGCAACUCAACAGUUGUUUUGAGAACCUUGUAAUUACUACUAGUACUAGUAUUCUAUUCUUGUCUAACAAGCAAGCUUCCGAGAUAUUAAUUGUACUAAACCAAAAUAUGCCGCUCGGUAUAGUUAAAGAUACAUUUUUUAAGAUUUAGAUAGAGCUGACCAUUCUUACUAUAAUAGCUCAAAAAUAGAUAAUGAAAAUAUUGAAAAUUUCAUUCAAAUUACUUUAUUCUGAGCCAAGUUAUCACAGUUUGUAGUUUUGUGCUUUGCAGUAACCAGGGCACUGGUACAUGUAUAUUCGAGACUUAACCUUGCUUUCCCAUUUUUAAAUUAAAUUUUUAAAUGGCGAACCGCUCUAAUCAAGUGAAAAUCUUGACUAUCCGAUGCCGUCGAUAGUUGAUUAUAGUCUUGUUUUGUUAAUAAAUGUCUAAUUAAUAGUUUAUAUAACAUUUCAGGCCUAAAGAAAUACUUGCAAUAGGCAGAUUUAGCUCUUGCAUAAUGUAUGUUUAAUUAUAAAGCAAAUUAAAAAACUAAAAAAAGAAAUGUAAUUUUCUAAAGUUCCUGUAACAACCAAAAAACCAAAUUUUACUGUUAUUUAGCAUCAUUAACAAUAGAUUUUUUACAAUAAUUAUAAUGUUGCUUUCAAAUCUUGCCAUGAAAGGUGAGUUAUCAAUCGCUUAAGUCAUUUUUAUGUAUAGCAAUGUUUGUUGCUCCUAUAUUCGACAUAAUGUUAUCCCCACGUGAAUUACAUACACUUUGUACUAUUAAAGUUCUAGUAGUACUCAGUAUAGUUUAUUAUAGUGAUAUGGUGUAAUAAAACUGUUAUUACUACAACAGAAAUAGAAUAGUAAUAAUUUCUCUCAAACCAUAAUUAAACUCAAUCCAUCAGUCACUUUAAAUAGUUCCUGGACGCUGGAACUAAAUUUAUAUUUAUAUCUUAUUGUUUUUCAAAUUGAACUUUUCAGUCCUACGCUAAAGAAACCUCCAAAGCCCCUCCAACUGAGGAAGCAAAGAUCCACAGAA